rnacentral:tmRNA from 1 species
GGGGCUGUUUAGGUUUCGAUGCCAGUAAAAGUAUAAACGUGAUGCAAGUAGAGGAAUUAAAUAACCUCUCAAAAAAAUAAGUCUUAAAAAAGAAACGCUAACAACAUUUUAGCUUUUAACCGAGUAAAAUUAGCUGUUUAAUCUAGCUAUUUAACUCGACAUUAUUGAGAAUAGCCAAGUAAAUCAAUAGUGUUAAAAAAUGAUUGGCUGCACAUAGAAUACAUGGUUUAAAUUCUAUGUAAAGAGUUACCAUAAGAUAAAGAAAUUUCAUCUGCUUUCAACCUUUAUAGGAGAAAGCUAAACUUGUGAACGAGCGUGAAUACUUUUUCGGGUACACGUGGGUUCGAAUCCCACCAGCUCCA